rnacentral:tRNA from 2 species
GCCCAGGUGGAGGAAUCGGCAGACUCACUACUUUGAGGUGGUAGCGCCGUAAGGCAUGCGGGUUCGAAUCCCGCCCUGGGCA